GUGGGGAAUUUUGCGCAAUGGGCGAAAGCCUGACGCAGCGACGCCGCGUGAGGGAUGAAGGUCUUCGUGAUCGUAAACCUCUGUCAGGAAGGAUUAAAGCCCGGGUAUUAAUACCACCCGGUGUUUGACUUAACUUCCGGAGGAAGCCCCGGCUAACUACGUGCCAGCAGCCGCGGUAAUACGUAGGGGGCAAGCGUUACUCGGAUUCAUUGGGCGUAAAGCGAAUGUAGGCGGUUUUGUAAGUCAGGGGUGAAAUCCCUCAGCUUAACUGAGGAAUUGCCUUUGAUACUGCUUAACUUGAGGACAGGAGAGGAAAGUGGAAUUCCAGGUGUAGCGGUGGAAUGCGUAGAUAUCUGGAGGAACACCAGAGGCGAAGGCGGCUUUCUGGACUGGUCCUGACGCUGAGAUUCGAAAGCCAGGGGAGCAAACAGGAUUAGAAACCCCUGUAGUCC
rnacentral:rRNA from 1 species